rnacentral:rRNA from 1 species
CACAGAUUUAGCCGUGGCUUCCUCAACCGGUACCGUCACUGCCACGACGUGUUAGGUCGUGGCCCGUUCGUCCCGGUCAACAGGAGUUUACAAUCCGAAGACCUUCAUCCUCCACGCGGCGUUGCGUCGUCAGGCUUGCGCCCAUUGCGAACAAUUCCCCA